rnacentral:lncRNA from 1 species
GCCCAAUUUAACUGCAAGCACCUCAGCAAGCUGUUAAAAUGUCUUCCAAUUAAACUACACAGAAAACAGAAACCUGUCCCCUUGUUAGUAUACUUGAGCCAGUCAGUGCGAAUCCAGAUGUAAAACUGCAGAAUGAAAUGUUUCGUCGCUGUUUGUAAGUCAGGGUUUCCAAGUUCUACACUCACAUUUACCUAAUUAGUCACGUGACCUCUAGCACUCACUCUGUGGAGCUAUGAAAUGAUAGGUGAGGUCUGAUCGUCUCUAAGUUUUCAUUCCAGCUUUAAAACUUGUAUGUUGCUCUGAGUAUCUGUUCCACAGAAGCUGAAUGCAUUAUUGAAUUCUGGAUGUCAGUGGUGAUUCUUCAGGAUGCCAGAAGAUCAAACACAACCACAGAGAAAAUAAGUUGCCUGGCUGCACAAAAGCAUUCACCUGGAAAAUAUCACCUAUUUUCAUCCUUGAAAAAUGACAAGAGCGAUGACAUGCACCGAUGGUCUGAAUUUCCUCAUGGCAGGUCGGUCAUAAAGCAGCAGCCAGGAAGCAAUGUAGAAGAUUGAUUCUUUCUGGAAUGACCCAUCCUUUCUUGACCAGGGCAUCUAGGUCACCUUGUCACCUGUGUGUGUCACCUGCAUGUGUCACUUGUUUCUAAGUUCUCUUUCCUGAGUAUACAAUUAGGGUCACAACCCCAGUCUCACCAGUCAGGCGUCUUACCUAAGUGAUCUAGGACACCUUGGGUAUCCCAGUUUUC